rnacentral:lncRNA from 10 species
GGCAAAAGCCUGUCAGUUUUGCAAGAUGAUGCCCAACAGACUGCCUGGGGAACAAAUGAACAUUUUCCAUCCCAGCCAAAGCAAAAUACAUAUAACAAAAUAGACACUAGUCACCUUUCUCAGCACCUGAUAUUGACCUGGCAAGGCUCAAAUUUGCCCCUGUUCAUCCCUGUCAUCUUUGAUCCACUCAAGGUGGGGAGAGAUGACCUUCAACUGCGAAUUCAGUGGGUGAUCUGUGGGCAAGAUGAAGAGCAGAUGGUCACCCUGUGUCAGACCUGUGGAGCUUCUGCUAACAAUUGCUUCAGGGUUUACCUAAUGUGACCAAAUAAGGAGAGUUCUGGGGAGACAAAGUUAUUACUAAAAUCAAUCUCCCCCAAAAUUUUGGAAUUGGAGUUUUAAAGGAUAAUUUGGUGUGUAGAGAAUCAGAAAGCAGGGAGUGUUGAUUGGUCAGGUAGAAGAUGAAAUCAUAGGGGUUUGAAGCUGUCCUCUUGUGCUGUCAGUUCCUG